AUGUGGUGUGUGCCCCACCCCAAGAAGCCAGGCCACAUCCUAGUUCUGCUGGACACCGAGGGUCUGGGAGAUGUAGAGAAGGGUGACAACCAGAAUGACUCCUGGAUCUUCGCCCUGGCCGUCCUCCUGAGCAGCACCUUCGUGUACAAUAGCAUAGGAACCAUCAACCAGCAGGCUAUGGACCAACUGUAGUAUCCUUUUGUGACCCAGAACAGCACCAAGGUCAGAGGGGACACCUGUAUUCAUACACCAGCUGCCUGACUGUGAAUCCUGAUGAAUCAAGCUCAAAAGGAGAAAACAAAAAAUAAUGCAAGUACAGAGGAGAGAUCCCAUGUAUCCACUUUAGAACUGACACUGACACUUAGGUUAGGAGCAAAGGAAAAUGGAAGGUUUGGGUAUGUGUUGAACUAACAUGGGAUGAGGUCCCUGUUCAUUUUGUCACAUUUCCUUAGUUAGCUACUCAGCUAUGUGACAGAGCUGACACAUAGAAUCCGAUCAAAAUCCUCACCUGAUGAGAA
rnacentral:lncRNA from 1 species